rnacentral:rRNA from 1 species
UAGGGAAUCUUCCACAAUGGACGCAAGUCUGAUGGAGCAACGCCGCGUGAGUGAAGAAGGUUUUCGGAUCGUAAAGCUCUGUUGUUGGUGAAGAAGGAUAGAGGCAGUAACUGGUCUUUAUUUGACGGUAAUCAACCAGAAAGUCACGGCUAACUACGUGCCGGCAGCCGCGGUAAUACGUAGGUGGCAAGCGUUGUCCGGAUUUAUUGGGCGUAAAGCGAGCGCAGGCGGAAUGAUAAGUCUGAUGUGAAAGCCCACGGCUCAACCGUGGAACUGCAUCGGAAACUGUCAUUCUUGAGUGCAGAAGAGGAGAGUGGAAUUCCAUGUGUAGCGGUGGAAUGCGUAGAUAUAUGGAAGAACACCAGUGGCGAAGGCGGCUCUCUGGUCUGCAACUGACGCUGAGGCUCGAAAGCAUGGGUAGCGAACAGG